rnacentral:ncRNA from 1 species
GACAACAAAAAGAUCGGGAGAGUAACCCUUGAAGAUAGUUCAGAAAGUCUACGGUAGCUGUGAGUAGAUCGAUUCGACAAAGGUGAAGAUGGCCCGUUAAUUGGCAGCGUCGAUACUUAAACGCUGAUGGGGUGGCAACCAUUAUUAAUUGCACACGUUGAUAGACGUUAGUGAGGGAUGUAGUGUAAGCUGCAUCCAAAUUAGAAUGGUACCGCGGAAUCCGCUUCUAGU